rnacentral:rRNA from 1 species
GGCGUCGAGCGGCGGACGGGUGAGUAAUGCCUAGGAAAUUGCCCUGAUGUGGGGGAUAACCAUUGGAAACGAUGGCUAAUACCGCAUAAUGCCUACGGGCCAAAGAGGGGGACCUUCGGGCCUCUCGCGUCAGGAUAUGCCUAGGUGGGAUUAGCUAGUUGGUGAGGUAAUGGCUCACCAAGGCGACGAUCCCUAGCUGGUCUGAGAGGAUGAUCAGCCACACUGGAACUGAUACACGGUCCAGACUCCUACGGGAGGCAGCAGUGGGGAAUAUUGCACAAUGGGCGCAAGCCUGAUGCAACCAUGCCGCGUGUGUGAAGAAGGCCUUCGGGUUGAAAAGCACUUUCAGUCGUGAGGAAGGUAGUGCAGUUAAUAGCUGCAUUAUUUGACGUUACCGACAGAAGAAGCCCCGGCUAACUCCGUGCCAGCAGCCGCGGCAAUACCGAGGGUGCCAGCGUUAAUCGGAAUUACUGGGC